UACGGAGGGGACUAGCGUUGUUCGGAAUUACUGGGCGUAAAGCGCACGUAGGCGGAUUUGUAAGUCAGGGGUGAAAUCCCGGGGCUCAACCUCGGAACUGCCUUUGAUACUGCAAAUCUCGAGUCCGGAAGAGGAGUGUGGAAUUCCUGGUGUAGCGGUGAAAUGCGCAGAUAUCAGGAAGAACACCAAUGGCGAAGGCAGCUCUCUGGGACGGUACUGACGCUGAGACGCGAAAGCCAGGGGAGCGAACGGG
rnacentral:rRNA from 1 species